rnacentral:lncRNA from 1 species
CGGGUUCCUCCAACCCGCCUCCCCACCCUCCAGGAAAUGGUGGGGGCGGUUUGCCCCCUGCAACUGAGAUCCCCUCCUAGGAGUUGCCGUUUGCUUCUGCUGGCGACGCGCCGCUCCCUUCCCUGGGGUAAGCUGCAACUCCUUCUGGAAGCGAGUGGACUGACGGGAUUUCCUCAGCGGAGGGUAAUGGAACCAAAGUCGUAGGAGUUUUCUGAUUUGUCAGUGUACAGUUAGGAACCUAGGCUUUGGCGAGAGAGGACGGGAGGGGGAGGGGGAAGGAGGGAGGGAGGGAGGGGAAAGGAGGGAGGGAGAGAGAGAGGAAGGGGAAAGGAGGGAGGGAGAGGGAGGGAGGGGGGAGAGAGAGAGAGGGAGGGAGGGAACUUUCGGUCUAAUCCACCUUUUCUGCUUCUUUCAAUUUGGAGUUAGGAAAUACUGCGGGGUCAAAUUGGGUACAACAAGGACCAGGGUCAUGCAGGACUUUACCCUUUUACCCUCCUUGAGUUCCCUCUGGUGGUUUCGGAAGAAACCCGGGCCCAGCCGAAACUGGGUCUCGGCCUUUUUCCAGGGGAUCGGUUGGAAAAGGGCGAGGGCGCGCCUUGGGAGCUUCCCGCUGCGCAGAGAGUGCGCGAACCCCGGCCCUUGGUAGAAGACUAGGUGUUGGUUCUUGCUCCUUUCCGCAGAGGCGUGCGGGCCUAGUCCUCUUCGGUCAGCUGGGCCCUGCCGCAACAGCGCCUUCUAGCGCCCAGAGGAUUGGCAGCUCGGGUUCGCCAGGAGAGGGGCCUGCGGAGUUUUAUGAAAAUAUAAAAAUUGAAUCCCGGCCCUAGGCGAUUUGGGCUCCUAACAUGAAGGGGGGCAGCGAUGGAAUCAGAAAAGUAUGCAAUCUGGUCUCUUUACCUGUUUCCGAGCUUGAAAUCCAGUUAGAUGUCUACUAGGGUAACCCCAAGGCUCUCACCCCAUGAGGGCAUUUUUAUCCACUCUGGGGGAAAAGUUGCCAGGGCAAACAUUUCAGAAAGGUCCCUCGUGCCUGAUGUUAAUUACAACUGAAAUAAAUUGUCUUUCUUCAUUUUUUUCCUUCCCUAAUGUAGGGAUGGGAGAUAGGAUAUAAUUUAUUUCUGUUGACAGUGGGAUAAUUAAGUACAUUUUUGGAUUACUAUGAAUUGGCUGCUGAGGGAGGAUCACUUUCCUCUAGUGUCAGAUGGAGCAUUUAGACUGGGCCUUGGGACAAGACAGUGGCCUUGUCAAGGGCUUUUAUCCAAGCCCCAUCCCAAUCUGAACCCACUUCUUUCCUGACCUGGGAUGUGGAGGACAAGGCUAAAGGAGGCCAAUUUAGUGGUUAGAGCAGCCAGGGUCAGCUGAAGCCAAACUUUUGGUUUCAUGCAAUUUACUUUCCUUUUAUUUCUUUUGCAACCCUCCAGAGUACCAGUGUCUGUGAAGGUAGACCCUUAGAAAUUAACUAUUAAUGUAUUAAAACCAUUUUUACUUUUUUGAAGGGUGACUAUUGGGAAAGGGAUGUUACCCCAUGGUGUAAGACUGUACAUUGAGAGAGACGUGGAGUGGGAAGAAUUAGAAGAGAAUAGGAUUUUGGCAAGGUGCAGAAAGUAAAGAUACUAAUUUAUUAGUCUCAAAUAAGCAGACUACUCCCUGCUUACAAGCUUGUCUUAAUAGGAACUGGGAGAGCCUGAGCUAUUGAUUAUGAAAAGUAUGACUUGCCACCCAGGGUGGGAAGUUCUGUAGGGAGCAUCAUGAGACUCACUGUUGUAGUAAAAUAGCAAGUAUGCUCUGACUCAUGCUCGAGAUAUUUUUUUGGGAAGGAGAAAAAUGUGUUCAUAAUUAAAAUACUUCUUAUGUGCUAGGCCUGUGUUAGACAUUUGACAUACAACUUUUCAUUUACUCUCAUGUGACUCUCAGGAGUUAGGUUUUAUUGUCCACUUUUCAUAGAUUUUUGAGAAAUUGAAGCUCAGAGAGGAUCCUUUCUUCCCAAGGCCUCACAGCUGGUAAGUUUUCAAGGUUUCAAGUUCACAUCUGUUUGGAUUCCAAAUAUGCUUUCCACUAAUAAACCAGAGGGUGUACUACUUUACACACACUAUGCCAUUUUGAUACUUACAAUAACCUUGUUAAAUAGAUUUGUCCUGUGUUAGUCCCAUUUAACAAUAAUAAAUGUAGAGUCCUUAAACUGUGGGGUUCUCAAACAUGAGUGUGAUCCAACAUCUAGAGACUGAUUCUAUCAGCCCGUCUGGGAUGGGGCCUGGGUCUGUGGCAUCUCACUUUGAGACUGGUAUUUUGGGAAUGUAUUUUGAGAAGUACCACUGCUGUGGCUUGGGUGUGUUUUACCCCCCCACCCCACCCCCAAAAAAGUUGAUGUUUUAGAAGCAUGGUUUCCAAUGUGGUGGUAUUAAGAGGUGGUGGGACCUUUAAGAUGUGGGGCUUAGUGGAAGGUGGUUAGGUCAUUGGGCAUGCUCCGGGAAGGGAUUAAUGUAGUUUUCUGGGGAUCUCCAUUAGUUCUUACAAGUUGUUAUAAAAAAGAGUAAGCCUGGUCCCUAAAUCUCUCUCUGGCUUCCUAUCCCACCAUGAUGUCCUCCACCACUAGUCCCUUAACAAAUGCCAAAUUGAGAUAGCUGUCCAAAAUUGGACAUUUGGUCUCCAAAACUGUGUGCUAAAUAAACCUAUCUCUGUCUUUUCAAUACUUACCUUCAGGCAUUUUGUUACAUCAACAGAAAAUGGACUAAUAGAACUACAACAGAGGAUGGUAACUUGCUUAAAGUCAUUAGGACUGGGGCAAACGGUUAACAGACUUCUGUUCUCCUUUCCUCUCCUUCAAGAUCUCAGUGAAAGUUGAUGGCUUCUUUAUUGGAAUUCAUAUAGUUAAACCCAGAGGCUGGCAUGGAGAAAGAAAUUUCUGAAUAUGGUAGCAGAUUGAUCUCCCAGAAGUCACUAACCUAGGGAAGUCAGUGUCUUGAGGUUUCUUCAAAUCACUUGCAUCUAGCUAACCUGGAGAAACAAACUCAGGCCCUUCAGUGAACAAGAGACACCCAACUGCUGGGACUCAACAGCAUGCUUUAAAAGGAAAUACCAAACAGAAAGCAUGAGCCACAGAUGUGGACUUGUAGUCUCCAUAGUGGUGUGGCUUGGAAGUGAGUGGGAAACAUGGUGGAAGGAGAUAAAUGUUUAGGCCUAACUGGCAAAUACAAUUUAAGAGACGCUUUAAAUCAGGGGCUGUAGGAAUAUGGAUCUGGCCUAUUCCAGUGCCUAGGAAUAAGUGUAUGCCUAGCCUGAACUGCACCCACAGCAGGUAAUCAUGGCCCUUUUUUGCUUCUGUUACAUUAACCUCUGUGAACAGAAUUUUCUCCCUGGAGCAAUUCUUCUGCUUAUCUGUUUUUUUAGGCCAAUGCAAAUGUUAAUCACCAAGAUUCAACUAAAUCACUGUGCUGACCCUUGAAAAAUGGGGUUUUUGAAAGCAGAAGUAGGAGAUACUUACCUGCCAAGUUAUUCCUAGGAGAUUAUGGCAGAAACCAAAAUAUUUAGACUUAUAUCUAGCUUGGUCAUUAGGCAUUUAAAGCCUAUCUUAACUGUGGUAAAUCAUGUUUUUAUAUUAUGCAUGAAAUAAUUUGAUAUGUGUAGUUUUAAUAGCCCAUUAUUAACUGUAAAUGGAGUAUUUACCAGCCCUGCUGUUUGAAUGACAUACAUUAUGUGUUUAUCUAGGUAGUCCAGCAACAUAAAUGUAUUUAAUGUCAUGAAAAGGCCAGAUUUGUCAACAUUUUCCUGUUAUUAUAUCAUAUGGCACCAAUGUACUUGAAAGUUAAGCUUUUACUGCACUGCAGUAAGUUACUUGAAAAGAGUUGCUUUGUUUCUAUUUCUUUUUUCUUGUCCAGGAAGAUAUUAAAUAUCUACAUUUUUUAAAAAAAGCCUGGUACAAGUAGGAACUAGGAAGUAGGGAAAGAAUUGACAGAAUUUUGUAUAGGCCCAAAGUGUUGGCUUCAGGUUUUAGGGGGAAUUAUGAAAUUUGAAAAGUCCCAGCAAGACCUUCCGCCCCUCAAAGUAACCAUUGUGACAUCCUGCUAAUAUUUGAAAUCCUACUAAUGGUAAUUUGUUUCUUUGCACAGCUCUUGAAGCUCAGGUGAUUGUUUAUGACUUAGGGUGAAUUAAUUUAUCCACUUUUCCCUGAGAUUAUAUUUUGGUUGACUUGAAGGUAUAAAAGUGUUGAGUGCCACAGCCGAGUCGGGAUGACGCAUGGCAUUUUUGCCAGAAGUAGUGGUUGAGAGGAGACGCUAGCGAGCCAUUAAGAUGAUGACUUUUGAGUUCUGGUGGAGUUCCCGUUGAGUUCUGCUUGAGCUCUCGUGGGGAUUUCCGGAGAGUUCUCAUUGGUUGGCGAAGUGCCGAGGAGGGAUUUUCCGGUUGCUGGUUCCUGGAGAGGUGCGUGGCGGGGGAGUUCCUGGGAGCGUGUGUGGAGUGUGCUGGUAGAGUUCAGAAAUAAAGUUUGUUCCUGCUUCAGUGGCUCCUGAUUUGUGCCCAGCCAGACUGCAGCAUAAAAGUGUGAAGAUGCCGGAUACCUGGGCACAAUCCACUAGGGGAAAAAGAGCAAAAGAAAAGGGCCUAGGGAUGGGGAUACAGCUCAGUCGGUAAAGCACAUGCCUAGGAUGUAAAAAGGUCCUCAUUUGAUCUCCACUACUAGAAAAAAAGAAAAAUCCCUAGAGGAAGAACUACUUCCUUCACAAAUUUUCCAAGGGUUAGCUCCUGCCUGCCACUAGUUGAGACACUACAGGGAUGCAGGUCAGGUGCCAGCGAGGCUCCUUACAUUCCACUUGGGGAGACAAGAUUAAUAUUAAUAUUAAUGUAACGGAGGAUAAGAUGGGACCAUAUGCAAUCAGGAUUAACGUGAUACCACGACAACAACAACAAAACCCCCAAAACAAAAUACCAAACCUUUCUUGAAUUCUACACUUUUUAUUUCAGAAGUCUCUGCAGAAAUGAGUCUUCCAACAGAGGCAUACAAAGAAAUAUGGAGAAGAAUAAAACAUAAGGGCAGAGCGAAAGCACUAGGCAUCAUUGCACCUGCCAUCAAGAACUGCUGAAGUCAGAAACUCAUCAGCCUCUUUUUUUGGUGGUUGGUCCUGAUUCAUCUUUUGAUGGAAACAUCACUUGGUUUCACUUAGUGAUGUCCGACCCAGAUGGUACUUAGUGCUCAGAUCAUCCUUAUGCUCCUCCCUCAAGAAAAGCAAUGCUAACUAAUAAAAUUGAUUUAAUUCAGGAAGUGAAUAGGACCACAUUUGCUAGGGGAAGAUACUGUGCCAUACAGGUCAGUGCAGAGUGGGUGGGCAUUGAUUUAUCUUUUAUCACUAGGAAUAUGGUAAGAUUUGGUGCUUGUGCAUGGGCAUGGUAAAGGUAGAAAUGAGCUGGAGGUUUCCUGGCUUACUUGACCAAUUUAGCAAAAUAAUGAGUGACCUGGUCUCACUUCUUACAAUAGUUUUUUUUUUUUUAUUGUUGAGAUUUGGGGUCCAACUGAGGUAGUGAUAAAGUAUUACUUUGAGGGACAUUUCCUUCUCUUCCUCCUGUAAUCAUGUUCCUUAGGAACCUCAUGGGAAGGGUGGCUUUGUUCAUAUUCUCAUAUUUUAAAAGUUUUCUGUCUCUUCUCCAAGGAUAAUCUUGUGUUAUCUAUCAUUUGGGGUUCAGCUCUAGUUCUUCCUCUUUGAAAAUGUCUAUUCCAUACUUAGUGAUUUUUCCUUUCUCGGAUCUUUUCCAACACCUGGGCUCUCUCCUACCUUCUUGUCAUUUACAUACAGCCUUGCUGCUUGCUAUGACUGCCUUGCUAAAAGUGUCCUAAACUGCCAGCUAAAUACAAAUAUCUCAGCAGCCCAUGGCUGCCUCCUGGAGAUCAGGGCAUACACCACAGUGAGUUUAUUCCAAUUUUGUGUUGCUCUUUGAUGAUUUAACAUGCUGUUUUCAGGGCUUUUGAGGUUACCUUAUACUUUGACAUUCACAACAGCACGUAACAAAGAGAUGAGAACUUAAAGGAUGGUCGGUAAAUAUCUGCUGACCUUUGACUUAUUUCAAGAUACGCAUCUUAGUGUUUUUCUGUACCUCUGACCCUCAGAUGGUUUUGUAUGUUGGCUUUGUCAUGAUACUGGGUAUGUUUUGAGAUUCCAUCAUCAGCCAGGGUUUGGGAGUGAUAAAACAUGGAAAGGGACUGCAGUGGACAUACUGCAUGCUGAGGAAAUAAGUGGGGAUGGAUUGUCCUUGCCUGUGCUGCCCUUACUAUCAACAGGUCUAGUCUAUUUCUUACUCCCUUGAAUAUAGGCUGGCCCAUGAUUUAUUUAUUUAUUAUUUAUGGUUUAGUGUAUUGAACCCAGGAGCACUUGACCUCUGAGCCACAGUUCUAGCCCUUUAUUUAUUUACUUUUUAAAAAUUUGAGACAGGUUCUCACCAAGUUGCUUAGGGCCUUGCUAAGUUGCUGAGGCUGUAUUUGAACUUGUGAUCCUCCUGCCUCAGCCUCCCAAUCGGUUGGGAUUAUAGGCAUGUGCCACUCUGCCCAGCUUGACCCAUGAUUUAUGUUGACAUGUUUCACAAUAUCAUGAGCUGUGACGAAAGUUAUGUUGUUCAGGAUUCUGAGUCCAAUGUCUUGUAACUUCUGCUUCACUCUUUUGGGAACCCAGCUACUAAACAGAGAAGCUUGGGUUAGACCACUGAAUGAUGAGAGACUUCACAGAGACAGAGACUAGCCUCCUAGCCUUUCUAGUUAAAGUGAGGCCCUCUUAGAUUUUGAAGCUCUCCCUGGCUCAGNGACUAAUAGAACUACAACAGAGGAUGGUAACUUGCUUAAAGUCAUUAGGACUGGGGCAAACGGUUAACAGACUUCUGUUCUCCUUUCCUCUCCUUCAAGAUCUCAGUGAAAGUUGAUGGCUUCUUUAUUGGAAUUCAUAUAGUUAAACCCAGAGGCUGGCAUGGAGAAAGAAAUUUCUGAAUAUGGUAGCAGAUUGAUCUCCCAGAAGUCACUAACCUAGGGAAGUCAGUGUCUUGAGGUUUCUUCAAAUCACUUGCAUCUAGCUAACCUGGAGAAACAAACUCAGGCCCUUCAGUGAACAAGAGACACCCAACUGCUGGGACUCAACAGCAUGCUUUAAAAGGAAAUACCAAACAGAAAGCAUGAGCCACAGAUGUGGACUUGUAGUCUCCAUAGUGGUGUGGCUUGGAAGUGAGUGGGAAACAUGGUGGAAGGAGAUAAAUGUUUAGGCCUAACUGGCAAAUACAAUUUAAGAGACGCUUUAAAUCAGGGGCUGUAGGAAUAUGGAUCUGGCCUAUUCCAGUGCCUAGGAAUAAGUGUAUGCCUAGCCUGAACUGCACCCACAGCAGGUAAUCAUGGCCCUUUUUUGCUUCUGUUACAUUAACCUCUGUGAACAGAAUUUUCUCCCUGGAGCAAUUCUUCUGCUUAUCUGUUUUUUUAGGCCAAUGCAAAUGUUAAUCACCAAGAUUCAACUAAAUCACUGUGCUGACCCUUGAAAAAUGGGGUUUUUGAAAGCAGAAGUAGGAGAUACUUACCUGCCAAGUUAUUCCUAGGAGAUUAUGGCAGAAACCAAAAUAUUUAGACUUAUAUCUAGCUUGGUCAUUAGGCAUUUAAAGCCUAUCUUAACUGUGGUAAAUCAUGUUUUUAUAUUAUGCAUGAAAUAAUUUGAUAUGUGUAGUUUUAAUAGCCCAUUAUUAACUGUAAAUGGAGUAUUUACCAGCCCUGCUGUUUGAAUGACAUACAUUAUGUGUUUAUCUAGGUAGUCCAGCAACAUAAAUGUAUUUAAUGUCAUGAAAAGGCCAGAUUUGUCAACAUUUUCCUGUUAUUAUAUCAUAUGGCACCAAUGUACUUGAAAGUUAAGCUUUUACUGCACUGCAGUAAGUUACUUGAAAAGAGUUGCUUUGUUUCUAUUUCUUUUUUCUUGUCCAGGAAGAUAUUAAAUAUCUACAUUUUUUAAAAAAAGCCUGGUACAAGUAGGAACUAGGAAGUAGGGAAAGAAUUGACAGAAUUUUGUAUAGGCCCAAAGUGUUGGCUUCAGGUUUUAGGGGGAAUUAUGAAAUUUGAAAAGUCCCAGCAAGACCUUCCGCCCCUCAAAGUAACCAUUGUGACAUCCUGCUAAUAUUUGAAAUCCUACUAAUGGUAAUUUGUUUCUUUGCACAGCUCUUGAAGCUCAGGUGAUUGUUUAUGACUUAGGGUGAAUUAAUUUAUCCACUUUUCCCUGAGAUUAUAUUUUGGUUGACUUGAAGGUAUAAAAGUGUUGAGUGCCACAGCCGAGUCGGGAUGACGCAUGGCAUUUUUGCCAGAAGUAGUGGUUGAGAGGAGACGCUAGCGAGCCAUUAAGAUGAUGACUUUUGAGUUCUGGUGGAGUUCCCGUUGAGUUCUGCUUGAGCUCUCGUGGGGAUUUCCGGAGAGUUCUCAUUGGUUGGCGAAGUGCCGAGGAGGGAUUUUCCGGUUGCUGGUUCCUGGAGAGGUGCGUGGCGGGGGAGUUCCUGGGAGCGUGUGUGGAGUGUGCUGGUAGAGUUCAGAAAUAAAGUUUGUUCCUGCUUCAGUGGCUCCUGAUUUGUGCCCAGCCAGACUGCAGCAUAAAAGUGUGAAGAUGCCGGAUACCUGGGCACAAUCCACUAGGGGAAAAAGAGCAAAAGAAAAGGGCCUAGGGAUGGGGAUACAGCUCAGUCGGUAAAGCACAUGCCUAGGAUGUAAAAAGGUCCUCAUUUGAUCUCCACUACUAGAAAAAAAGAAAAAUCCCUAGAGGAAGAACUACUUCCUUCACAAAUUUUCCAAGGGUUAGCUCCUGCCUGCCACUAGUUGAGACACUACAGGGAUGCAGGUCAGGUGCCAGCGAGGCUCCUUACAUUCCACUUGGGGAGACAAGAUUAAUAUUAAUAUUAAUGUAACGGAGGAUAAGAUGGGACCAUAUGCAAUCAGGAUUAACGUGAUACCACGACAACAACAACAAAACCCCCAAAACAAAAUACCAAACCUUUCUUGAAUUCUACACUUUUUAUUUCAGAAGUCUCUGCAGAAAUGAGUCUUCCAACAGAGGCAUACAAAGAAAUAUGGAGAAGAAUAAAACAUAAGGGCAGAGCGAAAGCACUAGGCAUCAUUGCACCUGCCAUCAAGAACUGCUGAAGUCAGAAACUCAUCAGCCUCUUUUUUUGGUGGUUGGUCCUGAUUCAUCUUUUGAUGGAAACAUCACUUGGUUUCACUUAGUGAUGUCCGACCCAGAUGGUACUUAGUGCUCAGAUCAUCCUUAUGCUCCUCCCUCAAGAAAAGCAAUGCUAACUAAUAAAAUUGAUUUAAUUCAGGAAGUGAAUAGGACCACAUUUGCUAGGGGAAGAUACUGUGCCAUACAGGUCAGUGCAGAGUGGGUGGGCAUUGAUUUAUCUUUUAUCACUAGGAAUAUGGUAAGAUUUGGUGCUUGUGCAUGGGCAUGGUAAAGGUAGAAAUGAGCUGGAGGUUUCCUGGCUUACUUGACCAAUUUAGCAAAAUAAUGAGUGACCUGGUCUCACUUCUUACAAUAGUUUUUUUUUUUUUAUUGUUGAGAUUUGGGGUCCAACUGAGGUAGUGAUAAAGUAUUACUUUGAGGGACAUUUCCUUCUCUUCCUCCUGUAAUCAUGUUCCUUAGGAACCUCAUGGGAAGGGUGGCUUUGUUCAUAUUCUCAUAUUUUAAAAGUUUUCUGUCUCUUCUCCAAGGAUAAUCUUGUGUUAUCUAUCAUUUGGGGUUCAGCUCUAGUUCUUCCUCUUUGAAAAUGUCUAUUCCAUACUUAGUGAUUUUUCCUUUCUCGGAUCUUUUCCAACACCUGGGCUCUCUCCUACCUUCUUGUCAUUUACAUACAGCCUUGCUGCUUGCUAUGACUGCCUUGCUAAAAGUGUCCUAAACUGCCAGCUAAAUACAAAUAUCUCAGCAGCCCAUGGCUGCCUCCUGGAGAUCAGGGCAUACACCACAGUGAGUUUAUUCCAAUUUUGUGUUGCUCUUUGAUGAUUUAACAUGCUGUUUUCAGGGCUUUUGAGGUUACCUUAUACUUUGACAUUCACAACAGCACGUAACAAAGAGAUGAGAACUUAAAGGAUGGUCGGUAAAUAUCUGCUGACCUUUGACUUAUUUCAAGAUACGCAUCUUAGUGUUUUUCUGUACCUCUGACCCUCAGAUGGUUUUGUAUGUUGGCUUUGUCAUGAUACUGGGUAUGUUUUGAGAUUCCAUCAUCAGCCAGGGUUUGGGAGUGAUAAAACAUGGAAAGGGACUGCAGUGGACAUACUGCAUGCUGAGGAAAUAAGUGGGGAUGGAUUGUCCUUGCCUGUGCUGCCCUUACUAUCAACAGGUCUAGUCUAUUUCUUACUCCCUUGAAUAUAGGCUGGCCCAUGAUUUAUUUAUUUAUUAUUUAUGGUUUAGUGUAUUGAACCCAGGAGCACUUGACCUCUGAGCCACAGUUCUAGCCCUUUAUUUAUUUACUUUUUAAAAAUUUGAGACAGGUUCUCACCAAGUUGCUUAGGGCCUUGCUAAGUUGCUGAGGCUGUAUUUGAACUUGUGAUCCUCCUGCCUCAGCCUCCCAAUCGGUUGGGAUUAUAGGCAUGUGCCACUCUGCCCAGCUUGACCCAUGAUUUAUGUUGACAUGUUUCACAAUAUCAUGAGCUGUGACGAAAGUUAUGUUGUUCAGGAUUCUGAGUCCAAUGUCUUGUAACUUCUGCUUCACUCUUUUGGGAACCCAGCUACUAAACAGAGAAGCUUGGGUUAGACCACUGAAUGAUGAGAGACUUCACAGAGACAGAGACUAGCCUCCUAGCCUUUCUAGUUAAAGUGAGGCCCUCUUAGAUUUUGAAGCUCUCCCUGGCUCAGCAUUUGAAUGUGGCCACAUAAGUUAGCACAGAAUUGCCCAACCAAAUCACAAGAUCAUAAGCAACAAAAAGUUUUUUUUGUUUUCAAGCCAUUAAGAUUUGGAGUUGUUUAUUCAAAGUGUUAAGUAACUGAAAGCAAGGCCUGUGUUUUAAGUUACUAAGAUUUUGGCAUCGUUGAUCUUUAACUGAAGCUUAACUUGACCUAUACUGGCUGAUAAAGCUAACAAUUGUAAUUUAAUCAUAUAACUUGAUUUAUUCAAAUGGGUUUGUUUUCAUUAAUGAUAUAUUUUAAUUUGUUUCUAUCAUUUUAUUUUGUGUUAUUUGUCCAACUUUUCUUCUUUUUCAUCUUUUGCUUUCUUUUUCUUCAUUUUAUUUCUUUUUGCCUUUUCCCUUUCCUGUGUUGAUUGAAUAUUUUUAAAAUUCAAGAUUAUCAGUUGAAUUCAAUUCAACUUACACUUAUUUUAGUUUAUCAUCUUUAUGUUCUUUAAUGAUUACCAGGGUCAUUUAAAAUUGCCUAACUUACUUAACGAACCUAACUAUCUUAAUUAUUUUCCUGAAUGAUACAGUGAUUUUUAUCAUGCUUUAACUGAUUGAUUCUUGCCCAACUUGUUGACUGUGUUGCUCUGUGUUUAAUUUGUUGUACUUUGGUCUUAUUUUUCCGUCAUACAAGGUAGAUAUUAUUAAUAUUGUCUUAUAUGGUGAAUGCUUAUUUUUAUUUACUCCCACAUUUACCUAUAUAUAUAAUUAUUUAUACAUGCAUUAAUAUCUUUUGUCUUUCAGUUUUUUUACUCUCGUUUCAGAUUUUAUCAUUCAUUUUUGUUUUGGGAAUGACUUUCUGUUGUGUGAAGUACAUUUCUUCAGAAUUUCCCUUAAUAGGGCUUUUUGGUAGUGUGAUCUCCCCUUUUGUUUCUCUCUUGUGUAUAAAUUAUUUUAUUUUCACUUAGGUCGUUUUUCUGGCUGUAGAAUACUAAGUCCAAUGUUUUUUUCUAUCAGCACAAUAACAAUAUGAGUCCCCUUGUUCUGGCUUUCACUGUUGCCCUCAUAAGUUAGCUACCAUUUUAACUGCCAUUUUGUUAGGUGAACUCUCUUUCCUUCCUGGCUAUUUUAAAUAUUUUAUUUUUGUCUUGGUGUUUUUCAGUUAUAACAUGAUGUGUAUAGGUUUUUAAAUAUCGAUUAAGAUUACUUUGGGCUUCCUGAUUUUGAGGAUUCCUAUUUUUCAUCAUGAGAACAUAUUUCGAAAAGUUCCCAGCCACUGUCUCUUUAAAUAUCCCUUCUUACAUAUUCUCUAUUGUCUCUUUUGGGAAUUCUAGGUAACUAUAUAGAAGUCUGCUUUGUUCUAUCCUGCAUGCCUUGCAAAUUCUUUUCCUGUCAUGAUUUCUGAUUAAUUUCUUUAGACCUGCCUCCCAGUUUAUUAUUCUCUCUUUGGAUAUAUCUAAUCUAUGACUUAAAAUAAUUCAUUGAAAUUUAAGUUCAAAUUAUUAUAUUUUAUUUCUGGAAUCUGUCUAAUUCUUCCACAUAUUGUUGGUUGUUUUUAAUACCUUUUGAGGCUUACAGUUAAUUCCCAAGCAUCCCUUUUACUUCACAGUUACAAUUAAUAUAGUUAGUAAUAUUGCUUAUUUUGUGUCAACUGAUUCCAUUAUCUGAAGACUUUUUUUGGUUUGAUAUGCUGUCUAUAAUUCUGAUAGUUCUCACUCAUAGUGUCUUGGUUUCUUUUCUUUUCUUUCUUUUUUUUUUUUUGACUGUGAGUUACACAUUUUCUUUGUACCUUUAUCUAUGGGAAUUCUUUAUGAAGUUAUAUUCAUCUAGAAAGAGUUUACAUUUCAUUUUGCUAGUCACCUAUACACUAUGAGUCCAGGAUCAUUAAAAAAACAAACAACACCCGCCCUCCAAAUGAAACAACUUUAUUGAAGUAUAAUACCAAAAAAUUUACCCAUUUUAAACAUAUAGUUUAUUGAGAUUUGGUAAGUUUAUAGUGUUAUACAACCAUCAUAAUGAUCCAGUUUGAAAACUUUUCCAUAUUUCUCCAAGAUCUCUUUGCCUUUGUUUUAUUCCUACACCUCAGGCUCCAGCACCUAUAAAUCUACUUUCUUCCUCUGUAGAUUUGGGUUUUUUUGACUGUUUUAUAUAAAUUAAAUCAUACAAUAUGAAGUCUUUUAUACAUGGCUUCUUUCACUUAGCAUAAUAUUUCUGAGGUUCCAUGUACUUAGGAUAAUAUUAGGCUUGAAAUUUGCUGGACCUCAUAAGUAGCAUGAAUUAAGAUCAACAAGGGCCAGCUUGGAGACACAGAUUUUUCCCUCCAUCCAAUGCUAAUGCUGAAGUAGACAAGUUUCCCUGUUGACUCUUUCUGAGUAGCAGAUUUAUUGAUAAGUGACCCUCUUGCAGAGGGUAUAUCUCUUUGUGAUCCCACCUUUAUGUUAGAUUCUCAACUUAUCUCCAGUGUGGCCAUCAAAGUGGAAAUUCAAUGUCUCCAGGUUUCAGAAGAGACCCUGGGGCAAAGCUAGCCUUAGCCCACAGGCCCUAGACAUUUUCCAUUUACUUCAUUUUUUGCUCUCUCUUUUUCAUACAAUGUGUCAGUUCAGCAAUGCUUUCAGAAAUAUAAUUUUUUCCCCCAGUAUUUCAUAUAUUUUAGUGGAAAGAAACCUUCAGAGUAUUUCAUUUGCUAUCCUGCCUAAAAUAGAAGGCUGACAUGUUCCUUCUCCUUACAAGAGUCACUUUUUACCUGUUUGGAUCUCAGGUUGAGAAUGAGGGGAAAUCUUCCCAUUCCCAUCUCAGUCUGUCCUUACCACUGCCACCUCCUCCCUCUCCCCACUUACCUGUACAGUCUGAUCAGUACUGUCAUUCACGUGUCCACUUUGUUUAGCAGCAAUUUGCAAUCACAUCGGUAUAUUCAUUCCCUCAUAUGCCUUUGCUAAUCCUUUGCACUCCUGGUGGGCCAGUAAAAACAGCUAUUUCUCAGACUGCAGUGGGAGUUGCUAAGGUGUCUGUUCAGCUUAAGGCGUGUCAUAUUCAAAGUUGAGAUGGGAGGGGCAGGGAUUAGAGCUGAAUAAACUGAGGCUUUGAGAGGCAAAGUGACUUGCUCAGUUUCACAGACAGCUGGAACUUGAACUCAGACCCAGAGAUUCCCUGAGACAGUGUUGUUUCUACCAUGUCUUUCUGCCCCUUCUUGGUGACAGGGAAACGGGUGUGGGAAAGACUAGCACUGAUGCAUUCAUUGAUUGAAGAGGUAAAGUUUUGGAGGUCUGUGGGUUUUCUUCAUCUUUGACUUCUGCAUCUCCAUUGCACAUUGUUAUGUGCGAGUAGCAGUUGAGGAAAACAAACACAUGAGCAAAAAACCCCAGCUGCUCACUGUUUCUGUUUUGAAACAAUAUGGAUCAUUUUGUAGGGAAAUUUCUCACUUCUCAGCAUGUUAGAGAUGGCCUGCUGGCUUGACCCUUUAAGUGGAAGCAAAGGAAAGGGUAUCCCAAAGUCUUAAUCCCAGUCCAUCAGCCCCGCAUCAGUAAGUUUCUUACCUCACUUUGGGGGAGGGAUGAUGUUAUUAAUGUCCUUUCUAGCAGUUUAAAAAAACAGACAAAUGUGGCUUAAAGUGAAAUCCUCAGUGAUUGAAAAUAUCAUUAGAAACAGGCUCCUGGUGUUCAUUCUGUCAUUUCCAAGGGGUUCUGAUGAGCUUCGUUUAUAUGGUGCACUGUGUGGAGCUGGUGGAAGCCCAGGACAGUGUGUGUGCGUGCUGGUGACAGAGUUCCUUCUGUGGAGGGAGGUGGGAAGGUAGAGGCAGGCCGGUGUCACCUACUCAUUUGAAACUGGGGCAAGCCCUAGACAGGACCUGCAGGCUUGCUUGUGGUGCAGUUCCCAGGCCUUACAUCCAAACGGCCUCCAGAUUUGUCUGCCUGGUGCCCAAAUAACGCACUGGUGAGACGAUAAAGCAUCCAGCAGGGCCAACUGAGUCAAGGAGAUGGACAAUCACAGCCACGGGGGCGGUGGGGGGGGCGGGGGGGGGAGUCACAACCAGGGAAAAAAAAAAGCAAGCAAACUAACAGCCGUUGGCCUGAAUUCAGUAAAAGAACGUGGGAGAGGGUGGAGAUAUAGAAAUACAGCAAAAAUUCUGUGUCGGUCUCUGUCUUCUGCUCCCCAUACUUUCUGGGAAAAUAAGAUUUUUUGUUCUUAAAAAAGAUCCCUGUGUAGGUUUGAAAAAAUCGAAGGCAACACCAAACCCCUUUCUUCAUCCUAAAGCACAAGCUCCUUAGGGUCUAAUUUGCAUGUAGGUAGAUUCAAAACAGCUCAAGUUUUGCACAUCUAAUUGGAUGGAAUUUGAGUCCUUCCCUGAAGCUGUAAAAGAAAAAGCAGGCCCCAGAAACAUGAUGAAGUGCUCUUUAGGUGACAAAGAUUUGAAACUGCCGUUCUUAGGGCUCGCAGGAGAUUCCUACAGCAGCCUUCAAGGCCACUCUCCCAAGUCAGUGCUGAAUUGACACUUUUUUCUGCCUUACAUAAGUAAGAAAUGCACAAAUGAACAUAGGUGCAGCAGUAAAAAUCACAAUGAAUAAUUGGAGCCGUUUCCAAACCUCAUGACCUGAUUUUGUUUGCAUUUGAUUCCAUUGGAAAGGGUAGGGCAAAAAGUAAGAAGUAGGAAUGUUCCCAGUUGAAGUCCCUAGGUUGUCUCUGGUGUUGUCACAACUUGCCUAUAUCCCCUUGGCACUAACUACACUAGUACUGAUCUGUUUUAGUCAGUUUUUUUGCUGCUGUGACUAAAAGAUCUGAACAGAACAAUUGUAAAGGGGGAAACGUUUAUUUGGAGGCUUACUGCUGCAGAGGUCUCAGUCCAUGGAGGUCCAUUCCCCAGGGGCUGGAGGUGAGGCUGAACUUCAUGGUGGAAGAGUGUGGCAAAAGUGAGCCGCCCACGUGGUGAUCAGGAAGCAGAGAGAGGUGGCAUUUGCUGGGGAGCCCUCUCCUGCCCUAGGUGCUUCCUCCUUAGAGGGCCCACCCAGGACGGCUCUUCUGAGCAAGUCUUUGGUUAGCACCAGGAGCUUGGCUUGACACCUCUGCCACCUCCAAAUCCAUCUUACAUAUUGUUUCUGGACACUCUGCAAACAAUAAACCAUGCCUUCAUGGAGUUUGCAUUCUAAUUGGGGGUGGGGGGAGAAGGCAAUUAAAAGGUUAAUGAAAAAAUAAUGAAGACAGCAUAUACACAACCGGUUCAGGGUGACACAUGCCUCGAAGAAAAUAAAAGGGGAUAAUGAGCCGAGGGGCUGACAAUGGGUGUCUUGCCAUUUUAAAUAGGAGUGGUAGGGAAGGCCUCACGCAGUUACCUUUGAGCAGCUGGAAGCAGGACAGAGUUCAGGCCACCAGCAUAACUGGGACAAGGGGUUCCAGGGAAGCCCCGUGCAGAGGCUUCCACAGUAGCAGGCCUGGUGUCCUCAGGGACACUGCCAAUGUCUUUGCUUUGACACUGGGUGGGACAGGAGCCCCUGCUGUAUGGGAGCAGAGGGGGACUGAUCUGCUCUUGUCUCCUGCCCAAGAGGUGAUGGGGCAAGUUUGACAAGUUCAUUUUAGGCCAAAGUGAAUGCGAUGGAUGUGACAGCUGACAGCCCACUGCCCACCUCUCCGUUAGUUUGGAAACAUUUUUUCAUUAUGUUGUUUGUUGUUGUUAUUAUUAUUAUUAUUUAACCAGGGAUGCUUUACCACUGACCUGUAGCCUCAGCCCUUUUUAUUUUUUAUUUUGAGACUGAGUCUAGCUGAAGUUGCUGAGAUGACCUUGAACUUGGAUCCUUCUGCACCAGCCUCCUGAGUCACUGGGAUUACAGGCAUGUGCCACCAUGUCUGGCUUCAUUAUGUUAAAUUCAAAACACAAAAGUAAAGAAAAUAGUGUAAUGGAUUCCCAUGCACCUUCUGCCCAGCUUCAGGAUUUACUGAUCCAAGGACAGUCUUAUUUUAUACCUGUAGUCUCCAGCCGUCCGUGGUUCUCCCCAACCCCCAGUACUAGGAAUUGAACUCAAGGGUGUUGUACACUAAGCUCUAUCCCCAGCCCUUUUUAUUUUUUGAGACAGGGUCUUGCUAAGUUGCUUAGGUCCUUUCCAAGUUGCUGAGGCUGGCUUCAUACUACAAUCCUCCUGCCUCAGCCUCCCGAGUCACUGGGAAUACAGGUGAGCACUGCCAUGCCCAGCUCCCCCUGGCUUUUUGAAGCAAAGACAGACACUGUAGCACUUCAUCUGUACUUAUUUCACUGAGGAUCUCAAAAGCAUAAGGGAAAGACAUAACCAUAAUAUUUAUCAUACAAAAACACAGAAUAAAAAUUAUUUGAUAUCUUCAAAUAUCCAAUUCAUCAGUGUUUUUUUCUAUAUCUGUCUGAAUAAUAUUCAAAUAAAGUCCAUAUGUUGCAUUUCAUUUUCUUAAAAUUUUUUUAAAAGUUUUUCUUUUUUCUUUUUUUUGAGAGAGAGAGAGAUAAAGAGAGAGAGAGUUUUUUUUUAAUAUUUAUUUUUAGUUCUUGGCGGACACAACAUCUUUGUUUGUAUGUGGUACUGAGGAUCGAACCUGGGCUGCACGCAUGCCAGGCGAGCGCAUGCCAGGCGAGUGUGCUACCGCUUGAGCCACAUCCCCAGCCUUCAUUUUCUUAAAAAUUUUAAAUAGAAUUAAUCUUAUUUUUUAGAACAGUUUUGAGUUCACAGCAUAAUUGAGAGGAAGGUACAGAGAUUUUCCAUGGGCUCCCUGCACCCACAGAUAUGCACAGUGUCCCCCAUUAUCAGCAUCUCCUACCAGGAGGUGCAUUUGUUAGAACUGAUGAACUACAUUUAUGUAUCAUUUUCACCCAGUUUAUGCUAGGGUUCAAGUUCACUCUUGGUGUUGUGUAUUUUAUGGGUUUGGAUAAAUAUAUGAUGGCAUCAUUAUAGUAUCAUACAGGCUAGUUUCACUGUCCUAGGAGUCCUCUAUUUACACAUAUUCAUCUCUCCUCAACCCUUGGCAUUCACUGAUCUUUUUGCUGUCACCAUAAUUUUGCCUCUUCUGGAAUACCAUAUAGUUGGAAUCAUACAGAAUACAGUCUUUUCGGAUUGGCUUCUUUCAUUUAGAAAUAUGUAUUUAGGUUUCCUCCAUUUCUUUUCAGUGCUUGACAGUUUGUUCCUUUUUAGUGCCGCGUAACAUUCCAUCGUCCGGAUGUACCGCAGUUUAUCUGUUCAUCUACUGAAGGACAUCAUGGUUGCUUCCGAGUUUUGCCAAUUAUGAGUAAAGACACCAUAAACAUCCAUGUGUGUGUUUUUGUGUGGACAUACAUUUUCAACACCCUUAAGUAAAUGCAUGAUUAUUGGAUGUCUUUCAGUUUUCAACCUCUAGGUUCCUUUUCCAUCUCUUUCUCCUCUUUUUGGGGUGCUGGGGAUUGGACCUAGGGCCUCACAAAUAUGAGGCAAACACUCUACCACUGAGCUAAAUUGUGUCCCUUUCUAUCUUUUUUUUUUUUUUUUAAUCCUUCCAUUUUAUUUGUUGGAAAAAAACUGGUUUGCUUUUCCUAUAGAAUUUUUUUCAGUUUGGAUUUUUCUAUCUGUAUCUCAGUGAUGCUAACUGGUUUUCUCUCUCCAUUGGAUUUCCUAUAAAAUGGUCAUUAAAUCUAGAAGUAUGAUCACACUCAAAUCUGAAUUUUUUGGUAAGAAUAUGUUACAGGGGGUGUUGUACUCUUCCGUCAGCCUUUCCUCAAGGGCUCUGGGAGAUGGAGUGCUAUAAGGUUAUUGAGGGAGAACAUUUUGGGGAUGGGUGUGGCUAAGGUCUUUAACUUGAGCUAGACAGAUGGUGUUAUGGUUUAGAUGUGAGGUAUCCCCCAAAAACUCACAUGUGAGACAAUGCAAGAGAGUUUAGAGGUAAAGUGAUUGGGAUAUGAGAGGCUUAACCCCGUCAGUGCAUUAAUCCCCUGAUAGGGAUUAAUUGGGUGAUAGCUGUAGGCGGGAGGUGGGUCACUGGCGCGUAACUUUGGGGUAUAUAUUUUGUCCAUGGUGAGGGGAACUGUUGCUCUCUCUGCUUCCUGGUACCAUGUCCUGAGCCACUUUCCUCCACCACCUUCUUCUACCAUGAUCUUCUCUCUCAUCUCAGGCCCUGAGGAGAGGAGUUGGCCAUCUUUGGACUGAGACCUCUGAAACCAUGAGAGCUAAGUAAACUUUUCCUCCUUAAAAUUGUUCGUGUCAGGUCGUUUACUUGCAGCAACCAAAGCUGACCCCAAAUGGCUUUAACUUCACCUGCUGUGCAUAAAACCAGCUCCUGGUUGGAGGUGUGUGUGUGCCUGAGCUCGUGUGUCUUUGUAUCAUGAGAAAUUGAUGUGUGAUCCAGGUAUGCAAAAUGUCCUGGCUUCUCAAGGAAAUGGAACCUACUAAUGAGAAAUAGAACAUUCAGAUAUCAACAAUAAAGACUGUGCUGAUAUCACUGUCAGGAGAAAUUGCGGCCACAAAGACCCAGAAGAGACAGGGUUUCCACGUCUGACUUGACACAUGUUGUGGGACACACUCUCGCUUAUUUGUUAGAUUAACCCCUCCCUCUUUAAUUUUUCAAAUGCUGUAUGGCAAUUACAUUUGGUGUUGUAUUUAAUACGUAGCAUAUUUGUUCUUAGACUUUUGUGACUCCUGCUAGUUAACUGCACAGUUUUCUAUUAGUGUGAAAUUCUACUUACUGCAGUACCAGGAAGUUUUCCUAUUGUUUUGACUGUAUUGCUUCUUUCUGGACUCCUAGGUUUGCCUCAAGAAAUUCAAAUUAUGAAUCUCGGUGACUCCGUAUUCAUUAGAGGAGAGUGUUCUGGUUUAAACACAUCUUCUCCUUUGUUCCUUGACAAAGGAAUGAGUCUUUGGAACUGGGUUGAUGUUGAAGAGUGGGGUGCCCAUCCCAGGCCCAUGGCUGGUUUUCAAGGAGUUGAGGAUGUUUCUGUGAUGGACAAGGAAAGGACUGUGUACUGUGUAUCCCCACUGUGCACUAAUGACACAAAUUCUCCUCCUGUCCCACCCACAGAGCCGGCUUCUUGUUCUGUUGAGGUGCAGAGGUGCCAUGUGCUCUCCCUGGCCGUGCUUGCCCAUCUUUUUAGGUUCCACAAAGCCUUCCCCAGCCCAACCUCCCCAGGGCUCUGUGGUCUAACCCCAGCUUAGUAGGCACGUUUGUCCUGUGUUACUCAUUACUUGUCUCUGGUGUAUUGACAUCAUGCCUCUACCUGAUAUGUAAAUCUGAGAGCAGAAAUGGCCCCUCUUGGUUGUCUGCAGUACACCCCACCAGCCUGCCAUGCUAGAGACACCCAGUCAUCACCUGCUGAUCAUUAUUUCCUAUUUGAGGGAGGUGAGGGGCGUAGAGUGAAUUUUCAUAAUUAAGCUUAUGGAAUAAUCUUAAAUGUGGAAUCAUAAAGACAUUGACAAUCAAGCUGACAUAUGCAUUGAGGUCUGUUCAAAUUCUUGUCUUCCCUCCUUUCCCUCAAAUAUGUGCUGGGCAUCUGGUAGGUCAGGAGAGGCAAUCUUGUAACAUGUGGCCAACGCUAUAUUAGAGGUAAGUCACAGGAGAUGGGAUGUGAGGGGAAAGGGUGAGAGAUUCCUCUGAUAGUUCUUUCUUACCUUUGCCUUCCUAUUGACUUUGGUGAGUAAUUCUUUCCAAGAAUGGGUUUUGUGGGGCUGGGGCUGUAGCUCAGUGGUAGAGUGCUUGCCUAGCAUGUGUGAGGCACUGGGUUCAAUCCUCAGCUUCACUUAAAAAUAAACAAAUAAAAUAAGAAUGGGUUUUGUAACAUUAUGGAGUAAUGGUUUCUACCCUGAUUAUCCCUUAGCACUGGAAGAAGCAGUCUCCAUGUGGUUUUAGAGUCCAAGCCCUGGAGUUAGAUCUGGGUUCUAGUCACAAUGCUAGGUGACCCUGGGAAAGCUUCCUAACCUCCCCAAGCCUCAGUUUCCUCAAAUGAAACAUGGGGAUCACCAUUAUCUAAUUAGAGGAGAAAGAUGGGAAUUCAAUAAGAUGAUGAAGGAAUUAGGGGGUCUGGUGCAUCGUGAAUACUUAGUAAAUGUUGGCUGUUAAAAUAUAAUUAGAAAAUGUUCAUUCUGGCUUUAUCCUUUCUUCUCCUUCUGCCUAGAACUCAUGUCCCUGUCCUGUGGUACCAUAUGUACCAUUGAGCCUUAGAGAAAUGUCUUGUUGGAUUCUUGUAUUUCAGUGCCAAGGGAACUGUUCAGAUAGGUGGAAGACGGACGGUGCACAGGAGCUUCGAGUACUGCUGUGGGUCCGCUUUCCAUCACAUCCGCUGCCUUUUCUGGGCUUACUCUUUACCAAGUGCAGAGCCAAGAGGUGAGGAUUUCUG